ACAGAGGGUGCAAGCGUUAAUCGGAAUUACUGGGCGUAAAGCGCGCGUAGGCGGUUGUGUAAGUUGGAUGUGAAAUCCCCGGGCUUAACCUGGGAACUGCAUUCAAAACUGCACGGCUAGUACGGGAGAGGGGGGUAGAAUUCCAGGUGUAGCGGUGAAAUGCGUAGAUAUCGGGAGGAACAUCAGUGGCGAAAGCGACUUCCUGGACCAAUACUGACGCUCAUGUGCGAAAGCGUGGGGAGCAAACAGGA
rnacentral:rRNA from 1 species